rnacentral:rRNA from 1 species
GACGAGCCGAGCGAACGUUGUUCGGAAUCACUGGGCUUAAAGGGCGCGUAGGCGGGCGGCCAAGUCAGAGGUGAAAGCCCACGGCUCAACCGUGGAAGUGCCCCUGAUACUGGUUGUCUUGAGGGAGAUAGGGGCGUGCGGAACUUCCGGUGGAGCGGUGAAAUGCGUAGAUAUCGGAAGGAACACCGGUGGCGAAAGCGGCGCGCUGGAUCUCUACUGACGCUGAGGCGCGAAAGCCAGGGGAGCAAACGGG